rnacentral:rRNA from 1 species
UACGUAGGGGGCAAGCGUUGUCCGGAUUCACUGGGUGUAAAGGGCGCGCAGGCGGGUUAAUAAGUCAGAGGUGAAAUCCUACAGCUCAACUGUAGAACUGCCUUUGAUACUGUUAAUCUUGAGUUCGGAAGAGAGAGACGGAAUUCCAGGUGUAGUGGUGAAAUACGUAGAUAUCUGGAAGAACACCAGUAGCGAAGGCGGUCUCUUGGUCCGAUACUGACGCUCAGGCGCGAAAGCGUGGGUAGCAAACAGG